rnacentral:rRNA from 1 species
CCUACGGGAGGCAGCAGUGGGGGAUAUUGCACAAUGGGGGAAACCCUGAUGCAGCGACGCCGCGUGGGUGAAGAAGCGCCUCGGCGCGUAAAGCCCUGUCUGCAGGGGAGAAAAUGACGGUAACUGAAGAAGAAGCCCUGGAUAACUACGUGCCAGCAGCCGCGGUAAUACGUAGGGGGCAAGCGUUAUCCGGAUUGACUGGGUGUAAAGGGGGCGCAGACGGCGUUGCAAGUCAGGAGUGAAAGCCCGGGGCCCAACCCCGGGACUGCUCUUGAAACUGCGUGGCUUGAGUGCAGGAGGGGCAGGCGGAAUUCCUGGUGUAGCGGUGAAAUGCGUAGAUAUCAGGAGGAACACCGGUUGCGAAGGCGGCCUGCUGGACUGCAACUGACGUUGAGGCCCGAAAGCGUGGGGAGCAAACAGGAUUAGAUACCCCAGUAGUC